CCUGGAACUCACACUUUAGACCAGGCUGGUCAUAGACUCACAGAGAUCCACCUGCCUCUGCCUCCUGAGUGUUGGAAUUGAAGCCUCCUUCUGCCAGACGACUCCAUGAGAUGGAUAAAUGGAGAACAUCAUGUAAUCUUGCAACAGGACCCCAAAAGAAUGUACACGUGUCCCAUACUCUGUGGCUGUCACAGCAGGAGGGCCUCAAAGUAUCCGCUGUGCCAUUGAAGAUCAAGGGUCAGACUGGCUGCCACCUGGCAUCUCUGAUAUAGAGUUGACCAGUUCUUCUCCACUGCACAGGGAUCCAGAUGUGCCAGCUACUGCCUUUUUGGAGCAGGAUCAAGAUGUAGAACUCUCAGCAACCUCUCCAGCACCAUGUCUGCCUGCAUGCUAACUUGCUUCCUGCCAUGAUGAUAAUGGACUAAACCUCCGAAACUGCAUGAGAAUUCCCUUUGGAAGACUGCACAGAGUGGCUGUGUCGUUUCAUAUGCAGGUCGAGGAAACCAGGUUUUCUGUUCAUGGACUGCCAUCAUCUUGAAGGCUGAUCCCAGGGGAGACUCCCCAGCUCCCUGGUCUAUGCAUGGUGUUUGCAUGUCUCGAGGCCAAGAAAGCCCUCAGACAGAAGUGAAGGUACUCGCAGUAAAAAGU